CCUGGGGGUGGAGAUGGGCAUCACUGGGGGCCCCUGGCUUCCUCCAUGGCCUGGCCACGCCCCACCCAGUCCAGGGGCCCGGCUCUCGCUAUUGGGAGCAGCUGUCAACCCCUGGAUGGGGCCCAGCCCUGGGGGUGCCUCAGUGCUGGAUGCAAACCUGCUUUUCUACGGUGGGGGCUGUGGAGUCUCCAACAGCUCUGCACAGAGGAAAAAGUCACAACCAGGCACGAAGAGUGAGGCUGAGGAGCCAGAUACUACUGGGGCCUGAUGCGAGGCUAACACCGGCCAGGGCCCCAGUCCCUGCCAUUUCCCCCAGAAAAACCAGACAUCUGGUUUGCAUGAGAAACCUCCCCAGAGUCGACAUGUUCCCAAACAAGCCCAGCUGAAGAGGAGGAAAAGGAUGCAGGUAACAGCAGCUCAGCCACACUUGGCCUCUAGUCAGAGGGAAGAAGCGGCCCAGUGACGCGAGGGCAGCAGACCAUCUCCGGGUGGAAGGCACACCUCGGACACCCCGCGGAGCCCACCCCUGGUGCCAGCAGGAGCCCCACGGAACCCCUCACCGUCCCACCAGCCUUGGAAGGGCACAAUUAACCACAGCGGUGGGGAAGCCACAGUGCCGGAAGAGUGGAGAGCCAGAGCCGAAGGGCCGCAGUGCCAGCAGAGGGCUCCUACGGGGUGCUCCCUCGGGGCUGGCGGGCAGCGUGGACCUCCAGGCCUGCCCCCGAUCCUGAGACCCGGGGAGUGGGGUGGGACCCUGCCUCCUCCACAUGCUCCCCCAGUGAUCCCCAAGGAAGCCAGGGUGGGAAACCCCUGAUUCCUUAAACACCUUCGUUUUGCACAUGGGUAAACUGAGGCCCAAGGAGGCCCAGCCCUUUGCCUGAGGCCUCUGGGUGGAGCUGCCUCACUCUCGGCCUGUGCUCCUUCCCAACCCACCUCAGCAGGUAAUGAGGGGGCCAGAGGGGGUGACAGCCCCAGUGUGAGGGGUGCUGGGAUGAGCUGGAGGGGCCAGGCAGGGCAAAGGGGCCACACGCUCACUUGGCAAUGGUGUCCACACCCAGUUUCACCCGGUCCUGGUCUUUGUUGAACGUGUAGAUCUUCAUGAUGGAGGCGGCCACUGGGUCGGUGGAGAAGUGCUGGGAGGAGGGAAGCAGGGAAAGCCGCUCGCUGAGAGCCCGGGCCGCAUGGCCCUCCGCUGCCCAGGUAACAGGGACAGGAAAAGGAAGGCAGAGCAGCGGCUUGGAGCAGCCCCAGCUAUGCACUCAUCACAGAAAGGAAAAGAGAGACCCUCGAAGACCCCAGCCCUGCCCACGCCCCAGGGCAGAGGCGACGCAGCCAAGACCCAGCAGAACUCAAGUCUCCCCUUCCGCCUUCUCAAGGCUAGAUCCACGGGACUUGGAAGCCAGUGUGACGGGACAGAACUUUGCCUCACGCUCUGGCUUUAGAACUCGACCUCAGUGCUGAGGUCCACCAAGGCCACCGCCACUUACGGAACCUCCCGCCACCACGGACGCCUCAUCCCUCCUGCUCUCGCAGCCCCAUGAUGGACGUUCUGGAACCACUCCCGGGCCUCAUGUUUACAAAGAGACCGAGAGGCCCCUCGUCCAGGGUCACAGGGAUGGCAGGUGGCAGAGAGGACACAAAUGAGUCUGCAACCCUCAAUGUCUAUAACUCAAUGGCUGGAAGACUGAUACCCUCAGUCCCUGCCCCUCCCCGAGGUCCCACCUAUCCACCUACGUUACCGGGGGAGGGGAGAAGUCAUAGCUGGAACUCUGGGGGUUUCCCAGAGCCAGCCCUGCUGACUGCGAACAGCGUCCCAGCAUGGAGAGGCUGAGAACAGGUACCCUAAGACCUGGAAAAGAUUGGGGCACAAAUCCACGCUCGGCACAGCCAUCACACACGGCCACACCCAGAGAGCCACCCAUGGCCUGGGAAGCAGGGCUGCCACCCGCACCUCCCUGGGCUGCCCAGAUGAGGGCGGGUGAACAGGAGGGCAGCCCAGGGCCACGUGUCAGGAUUCGGGCCACCUGCCCAGGCAGCCCAGAGCUCCACCCACCACCCCCCACCCUCAACUGCACAGCAGGGUCCCUCAGCAGCCCCGAGUCACACGGACCAAUGACCUACACACUGAGCCGGGGCUCAUGCCAACUGAAAAUUGGGACCCGGCCCAGUCUGCCAGUUUAGUUGCUGAGGUGAUGUGGGGAGCGGGGCAGAGCACGUGGAUGCAGAGAGGCAGAGCUGCCAGAUGGGCAUGUCCCCAGGACAACAGCUUCCUUGGGAUCAGAGCGCCCGGGACAGCACACCAGCCAAGGGAAGUGUAUCAGCUCCAAAAGCGGGCCUCGGGCAUUUUGGGCGACUGGCCGCCAGGCUUAGGUCAGGAGCUGGGUACAUGCACAGACAAGUGAUGAAGGAACGGCGGCCAGGAAGGGGUCCAAAUCCAUACAGGAAUGUACUUUGUGAGAAAGGUGGGAUUUCACAGCUGUAAGCAAAAGACAGGUGCUCUCGACGGGUGGGGCUGAGAAGAAAACUGAGCCAAGAUCUAAAAAAAAAAUUACAUCAGCUCCAUCCCACCAUGUUACAUAAUAACAUGCUCCAGCUGGAUCAAAGCUUCAACCAUGGAAACAAGCAAGCAGUCAAGGAGAAGCCAGAAGAAAAGCUCUGGAGGCCGGGCGCGGUGGCUCAUGCCUGGAAUCCCAGCACUUUGGGAGGCCGAGGCGGUCGGAUCACGAGAUUAGGAGAGUGAGACCAUCCUGGCCAACAUGGUGAAACCUCAUCUCUAAAAUACAAAAGUUAGCCGGGUGUGGUGACCUGCGCCUGUAGUCCCAGCUACUUGGGAGGCUGAGGCAGGUGAACUGCUUGAACCCGGGAAGCAGAGGUUGCAGUGAGCUGAGAUUGCGCCACUGCACUCCAGCCUGGUGACAGCAAGAGUCUGUCUCAAAAAAAAAAAAAGAAAAGCACUGGAGAGGCCACAAAAGAA